AUCCUAAGAUGGGUAUUUGUGACAGCAGCUGAGGCACAGGCAUUGAAAACAAAUUUUGCCUACCUGUAAAGACUCUAGACUUUGGGACAAUGGUCCUGGGGUUCUUCCAGCACCCUAGUUGUUUAAAAGUGAGCUAAUGGAGAUGGCAAUAUGACAAUGCUUUCUAGGAUCCCUCCAGGGAAAAUUCAUCUCUCCCUCCC
rnacentral:lncRNA from 1 species